rnacentral:rRNA from 1 species
UACGUAGGUGGCAAGCGUUGUCCGGAAUCAUUGGGCGUAAAGCGCGCGUAGGCGGCCAGAUAAGUCCGGUGUGAAAGUCAAAGGCUCAACCUUUGAAUGCCGCUGGAAACUGUCUGGCUAGAGUCCGGGAGGGGCGAGUGGAAUUCCUGGUGUAGCGGUGAAAUGCGCAGAUAUCAGGAGGAACACCAAUGGCGAAGGCAGCUCGCUGGAACGGUACUGACGCUGAGGCGCGAAAGCGUGGGGAGCGAACAGG